AUACUUAACUGCCAGGGGAGACAUUAUAAUCAAGAAGGUGAUUUUCACAGGGUGAGGCUUGGGAUGACCCUUGGGAUAUGCUGACCUCUGCUAUUUCCCAAACAUGGGAAAAUUGAUUGUAGAAUUUGUGAUAGUGGAGGGCUGUGUUUAAACUUUCCCUUA